UACGGAGGGUGCAAGCGUUAUCCGGAUUCACUGGGCUUAAAGGGUGCGUAGGCGGUCAGGUAAGUCAGUGGUGAAAUCUCUGGGCUUAACCCAGAAACUGCCGUUGAUACUAUUUGUCUUGAAUAUCCUGGAGGUAGGCGGAAUAUGUCAUGUAGCGGUGAAAUGCUUAGAUAUGACAUAGAACACCGAUAGCGAAGGCAGCUUACUACAGGAUGAUUGACGCUGAGGCACGAAAGCGUGGGGAGCAAACAGG
rnacentral:rRNA from 1 species